UACGAAGGGGGCUAGCGUUGCUCGGAAUUACUGGGCGUAAAGCGCACGUAGGCGGUCUUUUAAGUCGGGGGUGAAAUCCUGGAGCUCAACUCCAGAACUGCCUUCGAUACUGGAAGACUUGAGUCCGGGAGAGGUCGAGUGGAACUGCGAGUGUAGAGGUGAAAUUCGUAGAUAUUCGCAAGAACACCAGUGGCGAAGGCGGACUCACUGGCCCGGUACUGACGCUGAGGUGCGAA
rnacentral:rRNA from 1 species